rnacentral:misc_RNA from 1 species
GAAAAGACCUAUGAUCAUUCCCUCUCAUUAGAAGUGAUAAGUAGAGAGAAACCUCUUGAUAAGGAAAGUAGGAAAGUAUCUAAGAUCCAGUAGUUCUUUCAAGACAGAGACGUAUCUAGACUGUUCUAUACAAACGUUGCCUGGGACGGCCUGGAAAGUGUAUCAGGAUUUUUUUAUUUAAUGCAUGAGGCUUUUGGGAAAUGAAAAUAGAGCGAAAACUAAAG